GUGGAGGUAAUUUCAUAUUUUUUGGAUGUAUAUUUUGAGAGAAAAUCAAGUUUAAAGAAAAUGGUUGACCCCUAGGUCGACCCCUGUCAAAAGGGACUGAACGGCCUGCUAUUUUUGACUGGCACACCCAAAGGGGAUGAUCCUAGGGUCGACCUCUGUUGUCUGUGCAAGUCAAAAAUACAGAACAGUCACUUUCUGUUCUGCACCACAGAGGUCGACCCCAGGGAUCGAUCCCUGUGACAAAAAAUUUCUGUAACGGCUAGUUUUCAGUCUAUUUUGAUCAUAUUUAAUGCUCAU
rnacentral:lncRNA from 1 species